rnacentral:rRNA from 1 species
CAGUAACGGCGAGUGAAGCGGCAACAGCUCAAAUUUGAAAUCUGGCCCUCGCGGUCCGAGUUGUAAUUUGCAGAGGAUGCUUUGGGCGCGGCGCCUUCCGAGUUCCCUGGAACGGGACGCCGGAGAGGGUGAGAGCCCCGUACGGUUGGACGCCUAGCCCUUGUAUAGCUCCUUCGACGAGUCGAGUAGUUUGGGAAUGCUGCUCUAAAUGGGAGGUAAAUUUCUUCUAAAGCUAAAUACCGGCCAGAGACCGAUAGCGCACAAGUAGAGUGAUCGAAAGAUGAAAAGCACUUUGAAAAGAGGGUUAAAUAGCACGUGAAAUUGUUGAAAGGGAAGCGUUUGCGACCAGACCUCUUCCGGGCGGAUCAUCCGGCGUUCUCGCCGGUGCACUCCGCCCCGGAUUAGGCCAGCAUCGGUUCCUCUAGGGGGAUAAAGGCGGGGGGAACGUAGCUCCCUCGGGAGUGUUAUAGCCCCCCGCGCAAUGCCACUCGGGGGACCGAGGACCGCGCUUCGGCAAGGAUGCUGGCGUAAUGGUCGUCAACGACCCGUCUUGAAACACGGACCAAGGAGUCGAACAUUUGUGCGAGUGUUUGGGUGCCAAACCCUCACGCGUAAUGAAAGUGAACGGAGGUGAGAGCCCUCGCGGGUGCAUCAUCGACCGAUCCUGAUGUCUUCGGAUGGAUUUGAGUAAGAGCACAACUGUUCGGACCCGAAAGAUGGUGAACUAUGCGUGGAUAGGGUGAAGCCAGAGGAAACUCUGGUGGAGGCUCGCAGCGGUUCUGACGUGCAAAUCGAUCGUCAAAUCUGCGCAUGGGGGCGAAAGACUUAUCGAACUAUCUAGUAGCU